UGGAUGCUGGGGUGGAAAGUGAAUAAGUUUUACUAAAAUCGCUGUGAUUACAUCUGUCUAUGAAACAAGAAAACUGUUGAAUGCGGAAUUGAAAGCUGGGGCGGGGCUUUUAUGUCGGGGACGGACAGACACAGGUCCUCCAGUCGGCUCUGUGCAGAAGACUGGCUCACAGUGGUGCUUGUGGGAUCGAGAAAGAAACACUUCUCUACCUGAUUUAAUCUUUGAGAAGAACAAUGGACCAGCCCCCCAUUGAAUGUACAAAUAUUUUUUUAGUUGUUAAUUAUCGCACGAGUCGCUAUGAUUUUUUACUGCUUCCUCAAAGCCUCGCGCUGUUGAGCAGCCAUUUCGCUCUGCCCCGCCUACUGAGAAAUUGGCUCAUUUGCAUACUAACAGUGAUUGGAUGUUUAGUUGGGGGGGGAGGGUGAGUGGGGGGAUCUCUGCCGAGUGCCGUGUACGCCUUUGCACAAACAGAGCGCGGAGGGAAAGAGCGAACAAGAGGAUUCAGAGUCAGAUCACAGUCAGGCCCUAUCUGUUACGUCCCACGGUGCACGAGCAGGCAAGAAGCGGCGAAGGACGAGGCAGGUAGGCAGAAUACCGAACAAUGGGGUUUAUUAAAGGGAAGACGGAAGAUGACGACGCACAUCACAUCAGGAAACAUCAAUGACGGACACCCAACAGAGGAAGACUUGGACUGUUAUACCUAAGACAAGGCAAAAUUACAGGGAACAGCUGGGCACAAUCAGGGAAGCACAUGUGGAUGAUGAGGGGGUGUGGCAAACAUGAGGAUCGGACGAGCGGGGCGUAACACUAUCUGCCUUUGUUAAGUGGCGCAAUGAUAAUUUCCUUCACCUUAAUGUGUUAAAAACUAAGGAAUUGAUCAUUGAUUUUAAGAACAACAAUGAGAAAUCGAAGGCUAGUAUCAUGCAUGGUGAUGACGUCCAUACAAGAAUCUAGACACAGGGCUCGACUCUAAACUCAAGUUUGAUGUGAACACUGAGUUGAUUGUCAAAUAUGGACAACAAAGCACUCAAUAUGGAAGCUUAACUCUUGUGUCUGUAAAACUAUCAUGUAAUUCAGAAAGCAAGUCACAUUUUGUCCAGUGAAUUCACUGUAAUGCCCUCAGAUACAGGUAGGCACUAUUAUGCUCCUCUCAGGAAAACAAAUUACUAUUCCAAGUCCAUCAUUCCUUCUGCUAUCAGGCUGCUUUAUGUCAACAGUAGUCAUUUUAGAUGAAGAAUUUGCCCUUUAAACUAUAACACUAAAAUAUAUCACAACAUGCAUUCUUCUGUUCCCUUUUUUCCCUUCUCUCACUCAAACCCAAGGGCAUCAGAGUGAGUGCAUUGUUUGUGUCCUUGUACUCAUACACUGAUCUGUUGUCUGUGGCAUAUUAAUGUUUGACUGUUGCUCUGUAUUGUUUAUUUCUGGGAUAAAUAAAGUUAUCUGAAUACGU